rnacentral:tRNA from 2 species
GCCCCCGUUGUGUAGCGGCCUAGCACGCCGCCCUCUCAAGGCGGUAGCGCCGGUUCGAAUCCGGUCGGGGUA